rnacentral:rRNA from 1 species
GAUGAACGCUGGCGGCGUGCCUAACACAUGCAAGUCGAACGAAGCGCUUUGAAGUUUUCGGACAGAUGAGUGACUGAGUGGCGGACGGGUGAGUAACGCGUGGGUAACCUGCCUCAUACAGGGGGAUAACAGUUAGAAAUGACUGCUAAUACCGCAUAAGCGCACAGUACCGCAAGGUACAGUGUGAAAAACUCGGGUGGUAUGAGAUGGACCUGCGUCUGAUUAGCUAGUUGGUGAGGUAACGGCCCACCAAGGCGACGAUCAGUAGCCGACCUGAGAGGGUGACCGGCCACAUUGGGACUGAGACACGGCCCAAACUCCUACGGGAGGCAGCAGUGGGGAAUAUUGCACAAUGGGGGAAACCCUGAUGCAGCGACGCCGCGUGAGUGAAGAAGUAUUUCGGUAUGUAAAGCUCUAUCAGCAGGGAAGAAAAUGACGGUACCUGACUAAGAAGCCCCGGCUAACUACGUGCCAGCAGCCGCGGUAACAC